rnacentral:rRNA from 1 species
GACGAACUGUGCGAACGUUAUUCGGAAUCACUGGGCUUACAGGGUGCGUAGGCGGCUUGUUAAGUAGGGUGUGAAAUCCCCCGGCCCAACCGGGGAAUGGCGCUCUAAACUAGCAGGCUUGAGUGAGCUAGGGGUGCACGGAACUUCCAGUGGAGCGGUGAAAUGUGUUGAUAUUGGAAGGAACACCGGAGGCGAAAGCGGUGCACUGGGGCUCAACUGACGCUGAGGCACGAAAGCCAGGGUAGCGAACGGG